GGAUUUGUAACGGCCAAGCAGUG
rnacentral:piRNA from 1 species